rnacentral:rRNA from 1 species
AUACGGAGGAUCCGAGCGUUAUCCGGAUUUAUUGGGUUUAAAGGGUGCGCAGGCGGCCAUUUAAGUCAGCGGUUAAAUCGUGGGGCUCAACCCCAUUCUGCCGUUGAUACUGGGUGGCUUGAUUGCGGCCGAGGUUGGCGGAAUUCGUUGUGUAGCGGUGAAAUGCAUAGAUAUGACGAAGAACACCGAUUGCGUAGGCAGCUGACCAGACCGCAAAUGACGCUCAUGCACGAAAGUGCGGGGAUCGAACAGGAUUAGAUACCCUGGUAGUCCGCACAGUAAACGAUGAAUACUUGUUUUCGGCGAUAUAAUGUCGGAGGCAAAGCGAAAGCGAUAAGUAUUCCACCUGGGGAGUACGCCGGCAACGGUGAAACUCAAAUGAAUUGGCGGGG